rnacentral:rRNA from 1 species
AACGAACGCUGGCGGCAGGCCUAACACAUGCAAGUCGAGCUCCCCGCAAGGGGAGCGGCGGACGGGUGAGUAACGCGUGGGAACGUACCUUUUGCUUCGGAAUAGCCUCGGGAAACUGGGAGUAAUACCGAAUGUGCCCUACGGGGGAAAGAUUUAUCGGCAAAAGAUCGGCCCGCGUUGGAUUAGGUAGUUGGUGGGGUAAUGGCCUACCAAGCCGACGAUCCAUAGCUGGUUUGAGAGGAUGAUCAGCCACACUGGGACUGAGACAUGGCCCAGACUCCUACGGGAGGCAGCAGUGGGGAAUCUUAGACAAUGGGCGCAAGCCUGAUCUAGCCAUGCCGCGUGAGCGAUGAAGGCCUUAGGGUUGUAAAGCUCUUUCGUGGGGGAAGAUAAUGACUGUACCCCAAGAAGAAGCCCCGGCUAACUCCGUGCCAGCCGCCGCUGUAACAC